GGGUUAGGCAGAGCUGGCCAAGGGCCGGAGGGCAGAGAUGGGGAAGGCUGAGGGAUGGAGAUGGGGUCAGACCUGUUUCAGAAGGGGUCCGAGGGAUCUGGGGAGAAAUGAGGAGUUCAAAGUGCUUGAGGGGAUGAGAAGGGAGG